UACGUAGGGUGCAAGCGUUAAUCGGAAUUACUGGGCGUAAAGCGUGCGCAGGCGGUUAUGUAAGACAGGUGUGAAAUCCCCGGGCUCAACCUGGGAACUGCAUUUGUGACUGCAAGGCUAGAGUACGGUAGAGGGGGAUGGAAUUCCGCGUGUAGCAGUGAAAUGCGUAGAUAUGCGGAGGAACACCGAUGGCGAAGGCAAUCCCCUGGACCUGUACUGACGCUCAUGCACGAAAGCGUGGGGAGCAAACAGG
rnacentral:rRNA from 1 species